rnacentral:rRNA from 1 species
GUUCGAUUCCGGUGAAGGAGCUUGAGAAUUGGCUACUACAUCUAAGGUAGGCAGCAGGCGCGCAAAUUACCCAAUCCCGAUUCGGGGAGGUAGUGACAAAAAAUAACAAUACCGGGCCUUUUUGGGCUUGGUAAUUGGAAUGAGGGAGAGUUAAACGGACCAUCGAGUAUCCAUUGGAGGGCAAGUCUGGUGCCAGCAGCUGCGGUAAUACCAGCUCCAAUAGCGUAUAUUAAAGUUGUUGCAGUUAAAAAGCUCGUAGUUGGACUUGUGUGCGCUGUCCGCGGGUGGCCUGCGCCCAAAAGGGCGUUUCGGUUCGGCCCCGGUGGCGCCUUGAAAUCUGCAGCUGGGGGGACGUUGGCCUUAACUGGUCGGCGACCGCACGCCGGCUGCUCGGUUACUGUGAGAAAAUUAGAGUGUUCAAGGCAGGCAUUGGGUGCAAUUGAAUACAUUAGCAUGGAAUAAUAAAAUAUGGCUCCUGCCGUAUUUUGUUGGUUUUGACUGGUGGGAGUAAUGAUUGAUAGGGACGGUUGGGGGUGCUAGUAUUGAGCGGCCAGAGGUGAAAUUCAUGGAUUCGCUCAAGACUAACUUAUGCGAAAGCAUUCACCAAGGACGUCCUCUUUAAUCAAGAACGAAAGUUGGGGGAUCGAAGACGAUCAGAUACCGUCGUAGUCUCAACCAUAAACUAUGUCGACUUGGGAUCGGCGGUAGUUUUUUCAUUAAGACACUGUCGGGACCACGGGAGAAAUCAAAGUGUCUGGACUCUGGGGGAAGUAUGGUCGCAAGGCUGAAACUUGAAGGAAUUGACGGAAGGGCACCACCAGGAGUGGAGCCUGCGGCUUAAUUUGACCCAACACGGGGAAACUUACCAGGUCCAGAGAUAUAGAGGAUUGACAGAUUGAAGCUCUUUCUUGAUCACUUCGGUGGUGGUGCAUGGCCGUUCUUAGUUGGUGGAGUGAUUUGUCUGGUUAAUUCCGUUAACGAACGAGACCUAAGCCUGCUAGUGUAGUCGGCUGGAUUGCCUUUGGCGAUCCGUGAUUUCGACUUCUUAGAGGGACAAUCGACGCGCAGUCGAUGGAAGUUUGAGGCAAUAACAGGUCUGUGAUGCCCUUAGAUGUUCUGGGCCGCACGCGCGCUACACUGCUGGGCUCAGCGAGUUUUACUUGGCCGAGAGGCCCGGUUAAUCUUGUGAAAUCCCAGCGUGCUUGGGCUCGCCUCCUGCAACUGGAGGCGCCAACGAGGAAUUCCUAGUAGACGCAGGUCAUCAACCUGCAUCGAUUACGUCCCUGCCCUUUGUACACACCGCCCGUCGUUCCAUAAGAGUGAGGCAUCCGGUGAAUUCUCGGGAGAGCCUGGGCGUGGCCAGCAAUGGUCUGCUCGGGUUUGAACUUGCAUAGACUUGGUGCCUAUGAUUAGGGAAAAGUCGUAACAAGGUU